rnacentral:rRNA from 1 species
GAUGAACGCUAGCUACAGGCUUAACACAUGCAAGUCGAGGGGAAACGAUAGAGAAAGCUUGCUUUUUCUAGGCGUCGACCGGCGCACGGGUGAGUAACGCGUAUCCAACCUGCCCAUCACUUGGGGAUAACCUUGCGAAAGUAAGACUAAUACCCAAUGACGUCUCUAGAAGACAUCUGAAGGAGAUUAAAGAUUUAUCGGUGAUGGAUGGGGAUGCGUCUGAUUAGCUUGUUGGCGGGGUAACGGCCCACCAAGGCGACGAUCAGUAGGGGUUCUGAGAGGAAGGUCCCCCCACAUUGGAACUGAGACACGGUCCAAACUCCUACGGGAGGCAGCAGUGAGGAAUAUGGUCAAUUGGACGAGAGUCUGAACCAGCCAAGUAGCGUGAAGGAU